GAUGAACGCUGGCGGCGUGCCUAACACAUGCAAGUCGAACGGCAGCACGGUCUAGCUUGCUAGAUGGGUGGCGAGUGGCGAACGGGUGAGUAACGCGUAGGAAUAUGCCUUGAAGUGGGGGACAACUUGGGGAAACUCAAGCUAAUACCGCAUAAUUUCUUAGGAAAAAAGCUGGGGACCUUAGGGCCCGGCGCUUCAAGAUUAGCCUGCGUACGAUUAGCUAGUUGGUAGGGUAAGAGCCUACCAAGGCGACGAUCGUUAGCUGGUCUGAGGGGAGGGGCAGAAACACUGGAACGGAGUAACGGUCCAGACUCAUACGGGGGGCAGCAGUGGGGAAUAUUGGACAAGGGGGGCAACCCUGGGCCAGCAAUGCCGCGUGUGGGAAGAAGGCAUGAGGGUUGUAAAGCACUUUCAGUGGGGAGGAGGAUUGCCAGGUUAAGAGCUAGGUAAGUGGACGUUACCCACAGAAGAAGCACCGGCUAACUCCGUGCCAGCCGCCGCCGUAA
rnacentral:rRNA from 1 species